rnacentral:rRNA from 1 species
CAGGAUUAGAUACCCUGGUAGUCCACGCCGUAAACGAUGUCGACUUGGAGGUUGUUCCCUUGAGGAGUGGCUUCCGGAGCUAACGCGUUAAGUCGACCGCCUGGGGAGUACGGCCGCAAGGUUAAAACUCAAAUGAAUUGACGGGGGCCCGCACAAGCGGUGGAGCAUGUGGUUUAAUUCGAUGCAACGCGAAGAACCUUACCUACUCUUGACAUCCAGAGAAUUUAGCAGAGAUGCUUUGGUGCCUUCGGGAACUNUGAGACAGGUGCUGCAUGGCUGUCGUCAGCUCGUGUUGUGAAAUGUUGGGUUAAGUCCCGCAACGAGCGCAACCCUUAUCCUUUGUUGCCAGCGAUUCGGUCGGGAACUCAAAGGAGACUGCCGGUGAUAAACCGGAGGAAGGUGGGGAUGACGUCAAGUCAUCAUGGCCCUUACGAGUAGGGCUACACACGUGCUACAAUGGCGCAUACAAAGAGAAGCGACCUCGCGAGAGCAAGCGGACCUCAUAAAGUGCGUCGUAGUCCGGAUCGGAGUCUGCAACUCGACUCCGUGAAGUCGGAAUCGCUAGUAAUCGUGGAUCAGAAUGCCACGGUGAAUACGUUCCCGGGCCUUGUACACACCGCCCGUCACACCAUGGGAGUGGGUUGCAAAAGAAGUAGGUAGCUUAACCUUCGGGAGGGCGCUUA